AAGACGAAAGGCCUGAGUUUUAUUCUGGGUCUUAUUGCGCCGACUGCCGGCGGUGUAUGGUGAGACGCCUUAAAGACUGGUCGUUGUGGGGAGUGGCAAUGGGAAGAGACAGGGCCAGAGCGCGCGAGGGGUGGGACCUGCUGUGUGACUUCAAAUAAGUUAGUUUGCCUCUCUGGGUCGGAAGUUCUGUCCGCCUGAGCACUGGGAAAGAACUUGGAGGAGAGAACUUAAUUAUUUAUCCCCCAGGCAACUGAUUUAUAUGUUCUCUCAUUUUAUCGUCACGCAUUGUGAGGAAAAUUUCAAAACAUCUUUCCAUUUCCAGAUGGUUAAACUGAGGCACCUAGCAAGGUUGUCACUUGACCGUGUCUCAGUAUCAGGGACCGGUGGGUGCCGCGCCACAUCCCUAUAACCACCUCAUCCUCCAUGCAUGUGGAAUUAGGAACUCUGCUCACUUUGAGCGAGAGAAAACUGGCUCAGGGAUCCCUGCAGGUGGGUGUGGAGCCGUGGGAAACUGGGUGCGAAUCGCGUCUCUUAGCAGAGCAGAGGCAGUGCAAGGUGGCUUAUGGAGAGUAAGACGUCAAAGAAGCCAAGCAUCUCUCGAUUGUUCGGUGACUCGCGCCUGCGUAUUCCCAACGAGCCCCCCACCAACCCCGUCAAAUAGACCGGAAACUGAUAAAGACAAGAACUCCUUUCCUGGCCAAUCCUGUUAAAGUGUGGGCUUGGCUCUUAAACCAACCAAAGUCCCCCGAAGGGGCAGAAUUUUCCUAAAUUUGGAUCUAAGCCUCGGGGACAGAAAUAAAGUGCCUCCAUUCCCAACCAAUCCCAGGAAAGGCAGAAGGGCAAUCCUCCAAUGGGAGCCGGGGAGCUGUCCGUAGCGGCGUAGGUCCGUGCUCCUGCUCGCGCUCCAGCCCGCGGAAGGGUCGCGUUCAGUGUAUCUUCCAGAUCAUGCUGUAAGGUCCUCGUAUCAACGCGUGCGCGCGCGCGACGGCGACGGCGGCGGCGACGACGGCGGCGGCGACAGGAGCGUUUGCGCCGACGCUGACGGCAGGAGGUGUAAGGUCAGCUGGUAGCGGAGGAUCCUGCGGGUAGCAAAGAGAGGCCGAAUAGUCCUGCGGCUCCCAGCCGGCAACCAAUUACUUCCUCUUCUGAAGUCUUGAACCCCUGAAAGUCAUCCCUGAGGGUUGGAGUUAACUUCUUCUACACUCCUGUUAAUGUUGAUAUUUUGACCUCUCAUGUAUCACAGAUGUUCUUAAUGACUUCUAGAAUGGUUUGGGGAAAGUCUCAGCCUCAGUAACCAUCCCAGACACAGUCCAGAGGAUAUGAGCAGGCGGAAUGGGUCAUACGGAAAACAGGUUGCCUCACCAGAUCUGCUGUGGGCUGCAGUUAUAGUUGAGAUCGCGUCAAUUAGCUCUUAUGAAAUGAAGCUAAUUUCACCAUAGGAUGCUUCAUUGAGGGCCAUACAACUCUGGAUUCUCCCAAAUAUUUAACCCCUGCAGCGAAGAGAGAAAUUGAGGAAAUGCAACAAGCUAUCUCUCAAAGGCAACUAGAUCACAUCUAUCCACGGUAUUCAAUUCAAUUGUUUGUUUUUCCCACCAAACACUCCCUUACAGAGUUAAUAGGAUAGAUGACCCCAGAACUGUUCUUUCUAGAAUGAGUUUUUUGCUCACAUGCCGGGACUAAAACAUUAUCUCCCUAUAUCCAGUUAAUCAGUAAAGUCAUGUAUUCAGGCUGCAGACGAUGCAAUGUUUCUAGGUUAUGAUCCUGAUGUCAUCAGGAUUCCUUUGAGUAAAAAGCUUUUCGAAGCAGCUUUGCCCCUAUCAUUAGAUUGGCAAAUAGCACUCUUCAAUUACACAGGUCAAAUAGAGAAUGCCCUUCCUGCUGAUAAACUCCUUUAGUUCUUAUCUCAUAUUUCUGGUGAUCUUACCUACAAAAAUAGUUCACUCCCCCAUACCUAAUGCUUUAACACUGUUUACUGAUGGUUUUCCUAAACAUGGAAAAGCUGCAGUCUGGUGGAGACCACAUAAUUUUCUCAUUGAUCUGGACUCAGCUGAGAUUGGGGCCCUGAUAUUGGCCUUGGAAACUUUUCCCACUCAGCCAAUUAACAUCGUUAGUGACUACUCUGCUUACUCUGUUUUGCAGAACCUUGAAACACCCCUCAUAAACUCUACACUCUAGCCCACCCUGUAUGCACUUUUUCUUCGACUUCAGCAAUUGCUGGAUCAAUGCACACAUCCGAUUUUUAUCACACAUAUUUGAGCCCAUAGCUCACUGCCUGGCCCAUUGGCUUAUGGCAGUGAAGAAGCAGAACUUCAGGUUGUGACAUCACUGCUUGACCAAGCCACCCAAUUGCAUCAGUUUUUCCACCAAAACUGGAGAAACUUAUCUAAACAGUUUCAACUUACCCAAAGAAUAGCUAAACAAAUUAUCUUACAAUUCCCAGAUUGCCAGCUAACAGGCACGUCCCCUCCUUCAACAGGUGUUAACCCUAGAGGACUAGAACCUAAUCAAUUAUGGCAAAUAGAUUUUACACACAUCCCUGAAUUUAGAAAACUAAGAUAUGUACAUGUAUUCAUUGCUACCAAUUCACAUUUCAUUACCACUCAUGCUUUUCCUGGAGAGUCCAUCCAAUAUGUUAUUUAACAUCCUCUUUUAACUUUUGCAGCCCACAAAAGUUAAUGGGGCAGCCCACAAAAAUGAAAACUGAUAAUGGUCCAGCUUAUUAUGCCAGCUCACAAUUUCAACAAUUUUGUCACACGUGGAACAUCCAACGUUCCACAAGGCAUCUGAUAUGACCUGCAAGGACAGGCCAUAGUAGAAUAUGCCCACUCCAUCCUUAAAAAUAUGCUCAAAGGGGAGUAUGGGUAAGGACCCUGCAACACUAUUGGAACAAGCCUUAUAUACCUUUAAUUUUUAAAAUUUAGAUGAUAGAUUUCAAUCAGCUGUAGAAAAGCAAUUUGCUAAAACCUCUGAAGACAUAAAACCUGUAGUUUUAUGGAAAGAUGUAAACAGUAAUAUAUGAUGUGGUCCAAAUUAUUUACUAACAUGGGGAGGAGGAUAUGCUUGUGUUCAGACCCCCUCAGUUCCACUUUGGAUUGCAGCAUGAUGCAUCAAACCAUACCAUGGCACAGCUAGGACCCAGCCCGGUACCAGAAAUGAAGAAACUGACCUGAGAGCACCUGGUAUUCCCAGGCUGUCUCCCAUCCAAGUACUAACCAGGCCCAACCCUGCUUAGCUUCCAAGAUCAGACAGAAACAGAAAGAUUGGAGAGAGAAAUAGAGGGACAGAAUGAGUAAGAGACAGACUAGAAGAGACAGAGAUGAGAGAGAGACACAAAAAGUAAGACAAAGGAGAGAAAGUAGGAAGAAGAGAAAGAAAUAUUAAAGUUAUAGGUAUAAGAAUGCACCUUUAGUAAGGAAGUUUAUAAAACAAAAGGCAUGUUGAAGAUUGUGAAAGUCAUGAAAAAUGUUCAAGAAAUGUGUAAUUUUUGUUUUGAAGGUCUAAGCAAGUUUUAAAAUGUUAGAGAAAUUCUAUGUGUAAACAUAUUGACUAAAGUUAAAGAAGUAUUAUCCAGUUCUUCUGUAAACUAAACAUUAAAAUAAAGCA